AAGCCCAGGCACAAAUGGGGGUGCGUCUCCAAACUUGCAUUUUGGUGUGUUUGCUCACCUCGGGG
rnacentral:tRNA from 1 species